UACGUAGGGGGCAAGCGUUGUUCGGAUUUACUGGGCGUAAAGGGCGCGUAGGCGGCGUGACAAGUCACUUGUGAAAUCUCCGGGCUUAACUCGGAACGGUCAAGUGAUACUGUUGUGCUAGAGUGCAGAAAGGGUAACUGGAAUUCUUGGUGUAGCGGUGAAAUGCGUAGAUAUCAAGAGGAACACCAGAGGCGAAGGCGAGUUACUGGGCUGACACUGACGCUGAGGCGCGAAAGCUAGGGGAGCGAACGGG
rnacentral:rRNA from 1 species